rfam:Bombyx mori DNA, contig: Bm_scaf11_contig8906, strain: p50T/Dazao, build 2, whole genome shotgun sequence.
UUAACUCAAAUUUGUAUGAAGUUGGAACGUUUGCCUACGUUUGCCGCUAGGGGCACUGUUUUAACUGUACACAAAUUUCAGUUA